rnacentral:rRNA from 1 species
UAAUAAAAAAUUAAUUGAAAAUAAUAAGAAAGAUAAAAUUAUUCUAUUAUAAAUAAAUUUAUUUAGAUUGAAUUUAAGUAUUUAUUAAAGAAAAAAUAAGAUAGAUUAUAGGGAAUAGUACUGUAAAGGAAAAUUGAAAAUUUUAAAUAUUGAAUUAAGAGUAAGUAAAAUUAAUUUUUUGUACCUUUUGUAUCAGGGUUGAUUAAAAUUAAGUAGUAAAUAAUAUAUUUUCGAAGAAUGAAGAUCUAACUUUAUACCCUAUUUAAUGUGAUAUUAUUAUUAGAAAUAUAAAGUUAGAUAUGAUAUGUUAGUCAAUUUAUUUUAUAUCUAAUUCUUAAAGAAAAAAAUUUAAUUUUGAUAUUAUGGAUUUAAUGUAAAAUUUUUUAUGUUUUAUUAAAAUUGUAAUAUAAAGAAUUUAUGGGAUAAGCUAUAAAUUUAAUUUAAAAAUUAACUAAGGGAAUUUUGUUAGUUAUAGAUUUUAAAAUUGUCAUUAAUUAAAAGUUUAUAAUAAUUUAUAAUAUAAAUGAAUUUUUAAGAUUUAAUAGAGUUUUAAUUUUUUAUUUAAGUAAUCUAUUUAAUAAAAUUAUAGGGACGAUAAUGAUUAAAUUAGUAAAGUUAAAUUUUUAAGUUUUUAGAAUAAGCAAUUUACUUUAAGUAAUUAGGCAAAUUUGAUGUCCGCCUGUUUAAUAAAAACAUGUCUUUUUGAUAAAAAUUAAAAGUCUAAUCUGCCCAUUGAUAAAUUUAAAAGGCUGCAGUAAAUUAACUGCACAAAGGUAGCAUAAUCAAUAGUUUUUUAAUUGAAAGCUUGUAUGAAGGAUUGAACGAGAUAUCAACUUUCUAAAAGUAAUUGGAGGUUGAAUUUAAUUUUUAGAUUAAAAAGUCUAAAUUAAAUUAAAAGACGAUAAGACCCUAUAGAAUUUAAUAAUUAUGUUUAUUUAAUAAUGUGAUAUAGUUUAGAUAAAUUAAUCUAAUUAUUUUAUUGGGGAGAUAUUAAGAUUAAAAUAACUCUUAAUUUUUUUAAUCAAUAAUUUUUGAUUGAAGUGUGAUCCUGUCUUACAGAAUAAAGAACAAAUUACCUUAGGGAUAACAGCGUAAUUCUUUUUGAAAGUUCAUAUUAAUAAAAGAGUUUGCGACCUCGAUGUUGAAUUAAGAUGAAUUUAUGGUGUAGAAGCUUUAAAAUUUAGACUGUUCGUCUAUUAAAAUCUUACAUGAUUUGAGUUUAGAUCGGUGUGAGCCAGAUCGGAUUCUAUCUUUAAUUAAAAUAAGAUUUUAUUGUACGAAAGGACCUAAAAUCAUACAUAAUGUAUAUAUAAAUUGAAUAAUAUUAAUUAUAAUU